rnacentral:rRNA from 1 species
UACGUAGGUGACAAGCGUUGUCCGGAUUUACUGGGCGUAAAGAGCGCGCAGGCGGUCGAUCAAGUCGAGUGUGAAAGCCCCCGGCUCAACUGGGGAGGGUCAUUCGAUACUGAUCGACUCGAAGGCAGGAGAGGGUAGUGGAAUUCCCGGUGUAGUGGUGAAAUGCGGUAGAUAUCGGGAGGAACACCAGUGGCGAAGGCGGCUAUCUGGGCUGCAACUGACGCUGAGGCGCGAAGGCUAGGGUAGCAAACAGG